AUGGCUCAGGACGAACGCUGGCGGCGUGCCUAACACAUGCAAGUCGAGCGGAGACAUACGACGAAGCGGAAGUUUCGGAUGGAAGCGGAGAUGUAUGUUUAGCGGCGGACGGGUGAGUAACGCGUGAGCAACCUGUCCUCACAGGGGGAUAACACAGCGAAAGUUGUACUAAUACCGCAUAAGACCACGGCGGGACAUCCCGCAGGGGUCAAAGGAGCAAUCCGGUGAAGGGUGGGCUCGCGUCCGAUUAGAUAGUUGGUGAGGUAACGGCCCACCAAGUCAACGAUCGGUAGCCGACCUGAGAGGGUGAUCGGCCACAUUGGGACUGAGACACGGCCCAAACUCCUACGGGAGGCAGCAGUGGGGAAUAUUGGGCAAUGGGGGGAAACCCUGACCCAGCAACGCCGCGUGAGGGAAGAAGGUUUUCGGAUCGUAAACCUCUGUCCUUGGUGAAGAGGAAGAGACGGUAGCCAAGGAGGAAGCCCCGGCUAACUACGUGCCAGCCGCCGC
rnacentral:rRNA from 1 species